UUACGACCACAACACGGUAAAACACCGUUUAUUAUACGAUCACCGAAGUUAAGUAACGUCGGUCCUGGUUUGUACUUAGAUGGGUGACCGCUUGGGUAAUACCAAGUGCUGUAAG